UUUAACUAAAAAGUAGGAAAUUUGAACAUUUCGACUAGUAAUUUACAGGAUUCAAAUGAUACACAAAAAUAAUCAAUUUGUGUUUAACACAGCUGUUUUACUUUAUCUAUUGUUUUGAAGACAAAACUGCUGAACCUCAAUCACAGCAAAGAGAAUGUUACUACAAAUGGUAACACGACAAAACCUUGCCAAAAUAAAACUCUAGCAAGCCACGUUACCUGUUAUAGCAUAUCAUGUUCCUCACCCAAAUCCAUCAGCCAGUCUGAACUCUGAAUUUCUUCCUUAUAGAUACAAGAAUCAGUUUCUCAAACAAUGACAUGCAGCUUCUAUAUAGACAUGAUCCUUGAAUAAAAUUAGUGAAAAUUCUAGCUAGAAAUACAUGUGGUCAAGCUUUACACAUGCAAGGAGUCAGAGGGUUUUCCCAAAGGUCAUAGUUAGGGAAGGUCUCUUCAGGUAACCCAGUUCGUGUUUGAUGGGUAACAAUCACAUCUUCUACAAAAGUUGCCCAGCCCAUGUAAGGAUCUCCAAAAGAUUUAGACAUUAGCCCCUUGUCUGGUUUUAUGGAUUUUUGACGGUGACCCAUGUACCGUCGUGCCCCGAUUAUCAAUUUAGCAAAGUUGCCUCCAUGGGUCAUCACAAAAACAUCAGACUUGAGGCAAACCAAGAAGUCAAGGGCUGCCAAGCUUGUUACAUGCUUUCUGAAACCAUCCAACUCUUCCUUGGUAGUCAGCUCCUCCUUUGUUACCAGAUUUGGGAACAUGUUCCUCAAUGGAGCCAUCCGAUUUUGCCCACCAUAAACCUGGCCAGAAGCAACAUAAAUCUGAGUUUCCUUAGGAUAACCCAUUGCUCGAAGAAUCACUGCCACUUCCCCAGGUUCAAGAGGGCACCGUCCUUCCUUCCGCUUUUGCAAAGCCAGUUGCCAUAGAUGGGAACCAUUCUUAUACCGUCUAGGCCAUUCUUUCUUUCUGUAUUCAGCCAUUCUAGCUUUCUCCUCUCUAGUUCCCACAAAAUCACAGAAUGAUAGACCCACCAUCCCUUUCUCAAAUCUAAGAUGAAGAGCCAUAUACGGAUUUGAACUUCCUGUACGGUUCCUCAUCCUUGAUACCAAUAAAUCAGCCAUCUGCUCUAUCUCAGGAAGAAAUUUCAGAGCAUGAUAAUUCACCCUGCACCUUAGCCUGUUGAUUUCUGGAGGAACAUUAUCAUACCCAAGCCGAUCAACAAAGGGCUUUAGGGCCAUUAUCUUCUUCUCCUUAAUUCGAGGUAGAACAUUAUCCAUAUAGAAUUGAGCAGGUGCAUAUUUUGGAAUAUUUUUCACUGUCCGUCUUAUGCUUGAGAACAAUUCUGAUUUGUCAGUAAACCACUCAGGUAUGUCACGAACAAUUCGCACAUCAUCCUUCAGAUAGUCAAUGAAAUGAUCAACAUCAAAAAUGUCUUCAAAUUUCGUUUGGUCUUUCCAAAUCUGGUCCUGCUUCAGCACAGGCAAAAUAAGGGUGGCAUUCAUUAUUUUGGCCACAGCCACUGCAUUGCAUAUAGCAAUCCUUUGCUGAUUCAAACCACCCUCAGCAUGGAUAAAUAUGUAACCAGUUGUUUCAUUCUCUGGAGGAACAUCAGAUAUUCCACCAUUGCGGCGCUCAGCACAAGGCUUCCAAGAGGUUGUUGCAGAAUAUGGAUUCUCCCAGAGCGAAGCAGGUUCCUUGACAUAUGGACAAUGAAGUACAAUUCCAUCUUUUUUACACAAGUAGGGAGCAUUCAAUUGAUGGAAGAUCGAGAAAACCGAGAUCAAUGCAGCAAGAACUAUAAUACCGAGCAAAAUUAACGAGAUCCUGGAAUUGCAAGGAGAAAACCUAAGAUCGUCACCGAAGAAUGGUAGAUUGGACCAAAACGGACGGUCACGAUCUCUGGUGAAGUGAUGACGGGCGUGGUGGUGAUCGUCGUCAUCUGUAACAUUUUCGUGUAUAAGAGGCGACGCGUCCUCAUCCCGCUUCAUUGGAGAGUUGGAAGCUCUGGCCCCGAGCGAGCUCGAGUGCCUGAGCUCCGCCAUAGCUCGCUUCGGACUGAAAGCCAGCUCCUAAUGGAACUGAAAAAGACCUCCCGCUUUUAUUUUUCACCCACCGUCGUAGCAGUGGCCGUGGUAGUGGUAAGUUCAGUUCAGAUCGAGUCUCAGGACUCGAUU
rnacentral:misc_RNA from 1 species